rnacentral:rRNA from 2 species
CCGAAGCGGGGGAUAACAUUUGGAAACAAGUGCUAAUACCGCAUAAUUAGUUGGAACCGCAUGGUUCCAACUUGAAAGAUGGCUCUGCUGUCACUUUGGGAUGGACCCGCGCCGUAUUAGUUAGUUGGUGAGAUAAAAGCCCACCAAGACGAUGAUACGUAGCCGACCUGAGAGGGUAAUCGGCCACAUUGGGACUGAGACACGGCCCAGACUCCUACGGGAGGCAGCAGUAGGGAAUCUUCCACAAUGGACGAAAGUCUGAUGGAGCAACGCCGCGUGAGUGAUGAAGGUUUUCGGAUCGUAAAACUCUGUUGUUAAAGAAGAACAAGUGUUAGAGUAACUGUUAACACUUUGACGGUAUUUAACCAGAAAGCCACGGCUAACUACGUGCCAGCAGCCGCGGUAAUACGUAGGUGGCAAGCGUUGUCCGGAUUUAUUGGGCGUAAAGCGAGCGCAGGCGGUUUUGUAAGUCUGCUGUGAAAGCCCUCAGCUCAACUGAUGAAGUGCAGUGGAAACUACAAAACUUGAGUACAGAAGAGGAAAGUGGAACUCCAUGUGUAGCGGUGAAAUGCGUAGAUAUAUGGAAGAACACCAGUGGCGAAGGCGGCUUUCUGGUCUGUUACUGACGCUGAAGCUCGAACAG